UACGUAGGGUGCGAGCGUUGUCCGGAAUUAUUGGGCGUAAAGGGCUCAUAGGCGGUUUGUCGCGUCGGGAGUGAAAUCCACUGGCUUAACUGGUGGCUUGCUUUCGAUACGGGCAGACUGGAGGUAUGCAGGGGAGAACGGAAUUCCUGGUGUAGCGGUGAAAUGCGCAGAUAUCAGGAGGAACACCGAUGGCGAAGGCAGGUCUCUGGGCCACUACUGACGCUGAGAAGCGAAAGCAUGGGGAGCGAACAGG
rnacentral:rRNA from 1 species